GGUGAUGUGCCGUACCAAAUUCGAUUGAUUGAGCUGCAGGGCUGGAAGUAGCAGUAGUACAAAUAGGCCCAACUUAUCCUCGCGCCCACCUUUAGGUGCCACUGCGCUUAACUAUAGUAGGGCUCCAUGUCAUAAAGUGAAUCGCCAAAAAAACAAUGGAAAUUGUUUUGAGCGUUAAAACUGGAAAGUCCCUCCAGGUAGGAACGCCUUCAUAGGCGGGGUUGUGGUCCAGUUCCACUAUCACUCGUGGAACAGACCUAUCUUAGUGUCCACAAUAUAUUGCACGAAUGGAAGCAAACGAUUAAUUAUUGGUGGAUUUGUACUUUGCAAUGCUCAAUGUGAUAGCUAUCCCAGUUGGGUUUCUUUCUAAUGCAUCAUAUUGUUCAUCAUAUUGUAAACAUAAAUGCUGAAUCGCCAAUUUGUAACUUGCGGCUGCGCCAUGAAUGAGAUAUGCCCGCCUUGUACCUCGGUACGUACGAUUGCAGGUCACCUGUUUUUUAAUACAAACUUGGACAAGAUAAAAAGUAAGCAGUUAAGGAGGUCCACAAUUGUUAUUUCGAUGAAUAUUGUCAGUAUCACAACAGUAUGCCUAGCGUUCCCCACUCGCUGUGGCCCAAGUUCAGCAGCAUGCAUUUCUUACCAUCCCCAGAAUUAGUUAACCUAGGUUUUCGCAAUAACCUUACAGCUAAUAGAACUCAAAGCUAUCGGGAGCAAGUUGCAAACGUACCUUCCACGAAUUUGCCAAAAAUCCUCUUCACCGCAAGCGGAAGCGGACGUAAAGCCCACGCAGCUCCAGCCGCCUCUUGAGGCCCACCUACCCCAGGUACUUCAGGAAAAAAAACAGGUAAAGUACUAUCAAAUGGGCGCGGAAGGAUUUAAGGAUGAGUUGGAAGCCAUGUGACCUGUUCAAGCUCUGCAUUAAUGGACCAUCCAUGCACAAAUGCAGAUCAUUCAUAUCCACCCCGCUGCCUCAUGUCCCCCCGGGAGGCCGACCCUCAACAGUACAUGCACCGAUGCCUUACCGCCGGGAUGUGGAGGUAAGACCGACACGGUAGAAAAGCUUUUUCGUGACCAUAAGCGGGGAAGUGUGUUGGGUGUGGAAUUGCGGUUCGUCCAGUGUGCGGUCUAGCUGCUGGUGAGCUUGCUGACCCAAACACCGUUCCUGGCCGCGAGCAUCAUGGGCGGGCUUCAGAUGAUGCGCGAUAGGCACCACAGUUGCCGCUUUCACAGCAAGUGGAAUGUCUUGAAAGGGGUCUAACGCCGGGGCUGCAUCCACAGCAGCUGCCGGAGGAGCGUGACGAAAACGGCAGAGACGACUGUAGUCUGUGAAGCCGUGUGCGCACGUGUCCAAGGAAAACCCGGGUGUGGGAGGUCCGCCAUGCGCCCAUGGGGCUACCGCGUUUACAAAGGUGUGCAGGACGUACAUCAUCCUCUAGGAUGGUGUCUGCAUCUGCACAAUACAAUCAUCCUCGUGUAACGCUAGAUGGCCCUGGACAGAGGCGUGCAGGCGAAUACGAAGGCCCCGAGCGACCAUGCCCGAGGGGCGGAAGAGAGUCCGGCUGGUUGCUGAGGCGAGCGGGGAGAAGAUACUCCCCGCAGGACACACAAGGGGUAGAGAGAGACAACCGCAUAGGAGGUCAGGAGUGUACCUUGCGGCCGAUUUGCCUAUCCAGCUCACCAGCAGACGAGAGUAGAAUUUGCGGUGGUUAGCUCAUGUUGCCUUGUUGCUGACAUAAACGUCAAAGAAGGACCUGCAUCGUGAAUAAUUCAAUAUGUCUUGUCGUUUAUUCCAUUUGGAAAAACGGAAAACAUUUGAUUUUUGCGGGAUACGGAAGGGGGAAUGGCCCUGAAUGGCUGAGGAGAGCUUAUCCCUGCUGGUAUCGUUUUCGUCCUUACUCGUGCACCCAGGUCAAGUGGACGCGGUAAUAUGGAAACCAGCAGCUCAAAAGAUCGUAAAAGAUGUCGAUGGCCUGUUGAAACUUCAGCGGCGUUCCGCAGCUACAGAAACAUUUAAAUAAACUCCGGUUAGGAUAGCCGGAUAGAGGGUAUGGAAGCAGGCGCCUCGCGAUAAUCCAUUAACUAUUUAAACCAGCAGCUCACUGCGAAGAAGCUUGGGCAAAAUGCUAGGAUAGGAUCGCUGGGUGUAAUU
rnacentral:lncRNA from 1 species